rnacentral:miRNA from 1 species
AAGGAGCUCCCCUCAGUCCAA